rnacentral:snRNA from 1 species
GGCUUUGUGCAGUGGCAGUAUCGUAGCCAAUGAGGUUUAUCCGAGGCACAAUUAUUGCUAAUUAAAAGCUAAACAUGGGUCCACAUAUAUGUUUUUGGUAUGAUUCUUUUAAUUCUAUGGGGAA